UGUAAGCGUAUACCAAAGUUGUUGCAGUUAAAACGCUCGUAGUCGGACUUUGGCAGUUCCGGAUGUGUGCACGUCGUGUGCGCACUUCGCGGGGAUUGCUUUUGUGGUCUUGCGUAGGAUGAGGCACUUUUAUUAGUGAACGUCCUCACGCAACCACUUUUUACUGUGAGAAAAUCAGAGUGCUCAAAGCAGGCAUUUGCUGUGAAUGUAUUAGCAUGGAAUAAUAGAAUAGGACUUGGUUCUAUUUUGUUGGUUUGUUGGGACUGAGUAAUGAUUAAGAGGGACAGUUGGGGGCAUUUGUAUUUCGGUGCUAGAGGUGAAAUUCUUAGAUUACCGAAAGACAAACUGCUGCGAAAGCGUCUGCCAAGGAUGUUUUCAUUGA
rnacentral:rRNA from 1 species